AAACCAACCGGGAUUGCCUCAGUAACGGCGAGUGAAGCGGCAACAGCUCAAAUUUGAAAGCCCGCGGGCGUUGUAAUUUGCAGGCGGAUGUUUUGGGGCGGGCGCUGUCUACGUUCCUUGGAACAGGACGCCGCAGAGGGUGAGAGCCCCGUGCGAUGGCGCCUUUAACCGCGUAAAACUCCGCCGACGAGUCGAGUUGUUUGGGAAUGCAGCUCCAAGUGGGUGGUAAAUUCCAUCUAAAGCUAAAUACUGGCGAGAGACCGAUAGCGAACAAGUACAGUGAUGGAAAGAUGAAAAGCACUUUGAAAAGAGAGUGAAACAGCACGUGAAAUUGUUGAAAGGGAAGGGUAUGCGAUUAGCGGCCAGCAGGAGGUGCGUUCUCGCGAAAAGGCCGUGCACCGUCUUCGGACACCGUGCGCGGAGAUGGCGAGGGGGCGCCUGAGGUCUGCGACUCGAGGUUGCUGGCGUAAUGAUUGCAUACCACC
rnacentral:rRNA from 5 species